UACGGAGGGGGCGAGCGUUGUCCGAAGUUACUGGGCGUAAAGCGCGCGUAGGCGGGGCCGCAAGUCCGCUGUGAAAGCCUGGGGCUCAACCCCAGAGGGUCGGUGGAUACUGUGGCUCUUGAAGGUGCUAGGGGGAGAUGGAAUUACCGGUGUAGCGGUGAAAUGCGUAGAGAUCGGUAGGAACACCAGUGGCGAAGGCGGUCUCCUGGGGCAUUCUUGACGCUGAGGCGCGAAAGCUGGGGGAGCGAACGGG
rnacentral:rRNA from 1 species